rnacentral:rRNA from 1 species
CACGUAGGGCGCGAGCGUUGUCCGGAAUUAUUGGGCGUAAAGAGCUCGUAGGCGGCCUGUUGCGUCCGCUGUGAAAUCCCGGGGCUCAACCCCGGGCCUGCAGUGGAUACGGGCUGGCUAGAGGCAGGCAGGGGAGAACGGAAUUCCUGGUGUAGCGGUGAAAUGCGCAGAUAUCAGGAGGAACACCGGUGGCGAAGGCGGUUCUCUGGGCCUGUACUGACGCUGAGGAGCGAAAGCGUGGGGAGCAAACAGG